rnacentral:rRNA from 1 species
GGGUGAGUAAUGCUUGGGAAUCUGGCUUAUGGAGGGGGAUAACUACGGGAAGCUGUAGCUAAUACCGCGUAGUAUCGGAAGAUGAAAGUGCGGGACCGUAAGGCCGCAUGCCAUGAGAUGAGCCCAAGUGGGAUUAGGUAGUUGGUGGGGUAAAGGCCUACCAAGCCUGCGAUCUCUAGCUGGUCUGAGAGGAUGGCCAGCCACACUGGAACUGAGACACGGUCCAG